rnacentral:rRNA from 1 species
UACGGAGGGAGCUAGCGUUAUUCGGAAUUACUGGGCGUAAAGCGCACGUAGGCGGCUUUGCAAGUUAGAGGUGAAAGCCUGGAGCUCAACUCCAGAACUGCCUUUAAAACUGCAUCGCUUGAAUCCAGGAGAGGUGAGUGGAAUUCCGAGUGUAGAGGUGAAAUUCGUAGAUAUUCGGAAAGAACACCAGUGGCGAAGGCGGCUCACUGGACUGGUAUUGACGCUGAGGUGCGAAAGCGUGGGGAGCAAACAGG